rnacentral:rRNA from 1 species
CCUACGGGUGGCAGCAGUGGGGGAUAUUGCACAAUGGGGGAAACCCUGAUGCAGCGACGCCGCGUGGGUGAAGAAGUAUUUCGGUAUGUAAAGCCCUAUCAGCAGGGAAGAAGGAGGACGGUACCUGACUAAGAAGCCCCGGCUAACUACGUGCCAGCAGCCGCGGUAAUACGUAGGGGGCAAGCGUUAUCCGGAUUUACUGGGUGUAAAGGGGGCGCAGACGGCAGCGCAAGCCAGGAGUGAAAGCCCGGGGCCCAACCCCGGGACUGCUCUUGGAACUGCGCGGCUGGAGUGCAGGAGGGGCAGGCGGAAUUCCUGGUGUAGCGGUGAAAUGCGUAGAUAUCAGGAGGAACACCGGUGGCGAAGGCGGCCUGCUGGACUGCGACUGACGUUGAGGCCCGAAAGCGUGGGGAGCAAACAGGAUUAGAUACCCGAGUAGUC